rnacentral:pre_miRNA from 1 species
AAAAUACUCCCUCCGUUUCAAAUUACUUGUCGCAAAAAUGGAUGUAUUUAGAACUAAAAUACAUCUAGAUACAUCCAUACCUACGACAAGUAAUUCGGAACGGAGGGAGUAUGAG